UAGACAGAAUUAUCUUUUCAAAGGUGGGGA
rnacentral:piRNA from 1 species